GUCGAACGGUAACAGGUCUUCGGAUGCUGACGAGUGGCGAACGGGUGAGUAAUACAUCGGAACGUGCCCGAGAGUGGGGGAUAACGAAGCGAAAGCUUUGCUAAUACCGCAUACGAUCUCAGGAUGAAAGCAGGGGACCGCAAGGCCUUGCGCUCACGGAGCGGCCGAUGGCAGAUUAGGUAGUUGGUGGGAUAAAAGCUUACCAAGCCGACGAUCUGUAGCUGGUCUGAGAGGACGACCAGCCACACUGGGACUGAGACACGGCCCAGACUCCUACGGGAGGCAGCAGUGGGGAAUUUUGGACAAUGGGCGCAAGCCUGAUCCAGCCAUGCCGCGUGCAGGAUGAAGGCCUUCGGGUUGUAAACUGCUUUUGUACGGAACGAAAAGACUCUGGUUAAUACCUGGGGUCCAUGACGGUACCGUAAGAAUAAGCACCGGCUAACUACGUGCCAGCAGCCGCGGUAAUACGUAGGGUGCGAGCGUUAAUCGGAAUUACUGGGCGUAAAGCGUGCGCAGGCGGUUAUGUAAGACAGAUGUGAAAUCCCCGGGCUCAACCUGGGAACUGCAUUUGUGACUGCAUAGCUAGAGUACGGCAGAGGGGGAUGGAAUUCCGCGUGUAGCAGUGAAAUGCGUAGAUAUGCGGAGGAACACCGAUGGCGAAGGCAAUCCCCUGGGCCUGUACUGACGCUCAUGCACGAAAGCG
rnacentral:rRNA from 1 species